rnacentral:rRNA from 1 species
UUUCCCUACGGGACGCAGCAGUGGGGAAUAUUGCACAAUGGGCGCAAGCCUGAUGCAGCCAUGCCGCGUGUAUGAAGAAGGCCUUCGGGUUGUAAAGUACUUUCAGCGGGGAGGAAGGGAGUAAAGUUAAUACCUUUGCUCAUUGACGUUACCCGCAGAAGAAGCACCGGCUAACCCCGUGCCAGCAGCCGCGGUAAUACGGAGGGUGCAAGCGUUAAUCGGAAUUACUGGGCGUAAAGCGCACGCAGGCGGGUUGGUAAGUCAGAUGUGAAAUCCCCGGGGUCAACCUGGGAACUGCA